rnacentral:rRNA from 1 species
AACGAACGCUGGCGGCAUGCCUAACACAUGCAAGUCGAACGAGAUCUUCGGGUCUAGUGGCGCACGGGUGCGUAACGCGUGGGAAUCUGCCCUUUGGUUCGGAAUAACAGUUGGAAACGACUGCUAAUACCGGAUGGUGACGAAAGUCCAAAGAUUUAUCGCCAGAGGAUGAGCCCGCGGAGGAUUAGCUAGUUGGUGGGGUAAAGGCGAACCAAGGCGACGAUCCUUAGCUGGUCUGGAAGGAUGAUCAGCAACACCGGGACUGAGACACGGGCCAGACUCCUACGGCAGGCAGCAGUGGGGAAUAUUGGACAAUGGGCGAAAGCCUGAUCCAGCAAUGCCGCGUGAGUGAUGAAGGCCUUAGGGUUGUAAAGCUCUUUUACCCGGGAUGAUAAUGACAGUACCCGGAGAAGAAGCCCCGGCUAACUUCGUGCCAGCCGCCGCCGUAA